UGAAUACGAGACGCUAAGGCGUCGAAGUAGUGUAUGUCAUACUUCCAAGAAAAGCUUGCACUGUCAUAGAUAAAAAACGCCUGUACCAUAACCGACACAGGUGGGUAGGUAGAGUAUACUAAGGGACGCGAGAUAACUCUCUCUAAGGAACUCGGCAAAAUAACUCCGUAACUUCGGGAGAAGGAGUGCCUUAUUCUUAAGGUUGCAAUAACAAGAUCCAAGCAACUGUUUAUCAGAAACACAGGUCUCCGCUAAGUCGUAAGACGAUGUAUGGGGGCUGACGCCUGCCCAGUGCCAGAAGGUUAAAGAAGCUGGUUAGCAUUUGCGAAGCUAGUAACUGAAGCCCUGGUGAACGGCGGCCGUAACGAUAACGGUCCUAAGGUAGCGAAAUUCCUUGUCGGGUAAGUUCCGACCCGCACGAAAGGCGCAAUGAUUUGGAUACUGUCUCGGAGAGGGGCUCGGUGAAAUAGACUUGUCUGUGAAGAUGCGGACUACCUGCACCAGGACAGAAAGACCCUAUGAAGCUUUACUGUAACUUGAAAUUGAAAUUGGACUUUAUUCGCGCAGUAUAGGUGGGAGGCGUUGAUUAUAAUCUUGCGGGAUUAUUGGGGCCAUUAGUGAGAUACCACUCUUGUAAUGUUAGAUUUCUAACUUUGAAUCAUUAUCUGGUCAAAGAACAGUUUCAGGCGGGCAGUUUGACUGGGGCGGUCGCCUCCUAAACGGUAACGGAGGCGUACAAAGGUUUCCUCUGAACGGUUAGAAAUCGUAUCUAGAGUGUAAAGGCAUAAGGAAGCUUGACUGUGAGACCUACAAGUCGAGCAGGGACGAAAGUCGGUCUUAGUGAUCUGACGGUACUGAGUGGAAAGGCCGUCACUCAACGGAUAAAAGUUACUCUAGGGAUAACAGGCGGAUCCCCCCCAAGAGUUCACAUCGACGGGGAGGUUUGGCACCUCGAUGUCGGCUCAUCGCAUCCUGGGGCGGUAGUACGUCCCAAGGGUUGGGCUGUUCGCCCAUGAAAGCGGUACGCGAGCUGGGUUCAGAACGUCGUGAGACAGUUCGGUCCAUAUCCGGUGUAGGCGUUAGAAUAUUGAGAGGAGCCUUCUUUAGUACGAGAGGACCGAGAAGGACAUACCUCUGGUGUACCAGUUAUCGUGCCAACGGUAAACGCUGGGUAGCUAUGUAUGGAGUGGAUAACCGCUGAAAGCAUCUAAGUGGGAAGCCCACCUCAAGAUAAGUAUUCUCAUC
rnacentral:rRNA from 1 species